rnacentral:lncRNA from 1 species
GGAACCACGCAUAAAGUCAAGCAAAGUAGGAAAGAAUUGACCUAAGUCUAUGCAUUCAAUUUAAAAGUACAUGACUUGAUUGAACAAAUAGAUUAGUUUAAUUGAGAAUUAAGUUAGAGGUCAUACAUGACUAAAGAGUUGUCUAUGUCUAACUAGCACUAGACAUGAGGUAUAGGUUUAAUUUCGAGGAUGAUGAUGAUCUGAUCAAUGAUCCAAGAGAUUUAUGAG